AAUUAUUGGGCGUAAAGAGCUCGUAGGCGGCUUGUCACGUCGGUUGUGAAAGCCCGGGGCUUAACCCCGGGUCUGCAGUCGAUACGGGCAGGCUAGAGUUCGGUAGGGGAGAUCGGAAUUCCUGGUGUAGCGGUGAAAUGCGCAGAUAUCAGGAGGAACACCGGUGGCGAAGGCGGAUCUCUGGGCCAAUACUGACGCUGAGGAGCGAAAGCGUGGGGAGCGAACAGGAUUAGAUACCCUGGUAGUCCACGCCGUAAACGGUGGGCACUAGGUGUGGGCAACAUUCCACGUUGUCCGUGCCGCAGCUAACGCAUUAAGUGCCCCGCCUGGGGAGUACGGCCGCAAGGCUAAAACUCAAAGGAAUUGACGGGGGCCCGCACAAGCGGCGGAGCAUGUGGCUUAAUUCGACGCAACGCGAAGAACCUUACCAAGGCUUGACAUACACCGGAAAGCAUCAGAGAUGGUGCCCCCCUUGUGGUCGGUGUACAGGUGGUGCAUGGCUGUCGUCGGCUCGUGUCGUGAGAUGUUGGGUUAAGUCCCGCAACGAGCGCAACCCUUGUCCCGUGUUGCCAGCAAGCCCUUCGGGGUGUUGGGGACUCACGGGAGACCGCCGGGGCAACUCGGAGGAAGGUGGGGACGACGUCAAGUCAUCAUGCCCCUUAUGUCUUGGGCUGCACACGUGCUACAAUGGCCGGUACAAUGAGCUGCGAUACCGCAAGGUGGAGCGAAUCUCAAAAAGCCGGUCUCAGUUCGGAUUGGGGUCUGCAACUCGACCCCAUGAAGUCGGAGUCGCUAGUAAUCGCAGAUCAGCAUUGCUGCGGUGAAUACGUUCCCGGGCCUUGUACACACCGCCCGUCACGUCACGAAAGUCGGUAACACCCGAAGCCGGUGGCCCAACCCCUUGUGGGAGGGAGCUGUCGAAGGUGGGGCUGGA
rnacentral:rRNA from 1 species